rnacentral:rRNA from 1 species
GAUUGUUUGAUCCUGGCUCAGAACGAACGCUGGCGGCAGGCCUAACACAUGCAAGUCGAACGGGUGUAGCAAUACAUCAGUGGCGCACGGGUGAGUAACACGUGGGAACGUGCCCUUCACUACGGGACAGCGUCGGGAAACUGACGCUAAUACCGUAUAAUGUCUCCGGACCAAAGAUUUAUCGGUGAAGGAUCGGCCCGCGUCUGAUUAGCUAGUUGGUGAGGUAAUGGCUCACCAAGGCGACGAUCAGUAGCUGGUUUGAGAGAAUGAUCAGCCACACUGGGACUGAGACACGGCCCAGACUCCUACGGGAGGCAGCAGUGAGGAAUCUUGGGCAAUGGGGCGCAAGCCUGAUCCAGCCAUGCCGCGUGAGUGAUGAAGGCCUUAGGGUUGUAAAGCUCUUUUGCCGGGGAUGAUAAUGACCGUACCCGGAGAAUAAGCCACGGCUAAAUUCGUGCCAGCAGCCGCGGUAAUACGAAUGUGGCGAGCGUUGUUCGGAAUCACUGGGCGUAAAGAGUACGUAGGCGGCUUGAUAAGUCAGGAGUGAAAUCCCCAGGCUCAACCUGGGAAUUGCUUUUGAAACUAUCUCGCUAGAAUGUCGGAGAGGUUGGCGGAAUUCCAAGUGUAGAGGUGAAAUUCGCAGAUAUUUGGAGGAACACCAGUGGCGUAAGCGGCCAACUGGACGACUAUUGACGCUGAGGUACGAAAGCGUGGGGAUCAAACAGGAUUAGAUACCCUGGUAGUCCACGCCAUAAACGAUGCGUGCUAGCUGGUGGGUAGCUUAGCUAUUCGCUGGCGCAGCUAACGCAUAAGCACACCGCCUG